rnacentral:lncRNA from 1 species
CACAGGUGAGAGAGUUUGAGUGCACAGGUGUGCGUGCGUGUGAGCGUGCGUGCUUGCGUGCGUGCGAGAAGGUCAGAGUGCGCCGCGUGUCCGUGAGUGAAAGUGCGCGUUUUUGUGUUCAGAUGGAGGACGCCCCCAGCUCCCAGAAGAGCGGGCGACUUUCUUCCUCUCACGACUUGGGGAGAGGAGGAGGAGGACCGUUUCCGACGUGGACAGGUUUCGACGUCUUAGGGGUCCAGGUAAAGGCGAUUCAAUUAUGGGAUAUGAGGCUGGUCAGGAAGCAUGAGAGCCUGCACCAUCCUGCAGGCCACAGAGACCUUCGGUGGACAGUUCUGAAUGGGAUAAAGCCUGCAGGCCAGUACUCCCAUGAGAGCUCUUCUCCCACAGAGACUGUCGUAUUGGACACAGAAGCAAUAUCCAGCCUAAGGCUGCCAGCAAACAUCACACUGAAGCAUAAAAAGGUAGAAGGCAAGAAGAUGGGGAAAUCCUGUCACAUUAGUACUCAGUGUGAGGGUGCUCACCCCAGACUGUGUGGACUUUGAGACACCAGGUGUCAUUGUGGAUAAAGAGGGUCACUCCAAGAAGACACAAUGGAGAAAGUGAAGCUCUCUCUGCUCGGCUGACCCCUCACUCCUAUGAGGGCAAGUCAGUCACAGCAUGUGACCUGGCUUUGCAAAGAAAAAGGCAUUUCCCUAAGGUUAUGGGGUUGUGUUUGAGAUCAGCCCAAGACAGCCUGGCUCCUAGAAAAGAACCUGACCAGCCCUGUCUUCCUAGAGUGGGGCCACCUCGCAACAACCCUGGGCAGCCCUAUGAGUGGCUGCAGAGCACAGCUUGACUCUUCAUAGGAACCACCCAAACCAUCUUCAUCUCUAUGAAUCAUCCUCACAGAGACUGAGUAUUGAGGCGAAAAGAAACCCAGGUGCAUUGAAAGACUGGCUUGAAGGCUGACGUUACUUAGGAUGAGACUCAGAGUUUCCAUCAUGGCUCAGCAGAAAUGAAUUUGAUGAGCAUCCAUGAGGACGCAGGUUUGAUCCCUGGCCUCCCUCAGUGGGUUAAGGAUCUGGCGUUGCUGUGGCUGCAGUGUAGGCCGGUGGCUGCAGCUCUAAUUCAACCCUAGCCUGGGAACCUCCAUAUGUCACAGCUGCAGCCCUAAAAAAGACAAAAAAUAAAAAAAUAAAAACAGGAUGAGAGUAGGUUAAA